rnacentral:rRNA from 1 species
CACGUAGGGUGCGAGCGUUGUCCGGAAUUAUUGGGCGUAAAGAGCUCGUAGGCGGUGUGUCGCGUCGGCCGUGAAAACCUGCAGCUUAACUGUGGGCUUGCGGUCGAUACGGGCAUCACUGGAGUUCGGCAGGGGAGACUGGAAUUCCUGGUGUAGCGGUGAAAUGACGCAGAUAUCAGGAGGAACACCCGGUGGCGAAGGCGGGUCUCUGGGCCGAUACUGAC